GAAUUUUAUAUAUGGCUUAUUUGAUUAAAUUAUUUAUUUUGUGAUUGAGUAUGUUAUUUAUUUAGUUGGGAGGAUUGUUAAAUUAUUUAAACUUUAAUUAUUUAAUGAUAUAAAUUAAUAGAUUUGAAAUUAAGAGUGGCAGCUUAGUUGAGUAAGAAUUAAUUACCUUAGGGAUAACAGCGUAAUAAUUUUAGGGAGUUCAUAUUUAUAAAAUUGAUUGC
rnacentral:rRNA from 1 species